rnacentral:misc_RNA from 1 species
CUAUUUCUUAAAAUCUUAUUUGAUGAAAGUUAAAAACUUUGGAAUUCUUUAAGAGGAAACAAAAUAUAAAACUAUAUUUUUGAGUUUAUUAUUGUCAUAGAAUUUUGAGAGAGAAAAUAACUAAAAGUUUAAAUGUGACAUUAUUUUCAUUAAUUAAUUUUGAAUAGAAUAUUGUAAAUUAUUCUUUUUAAACAAUAGUUAAUGUCAUGUAUAUUUUAUCUGGUAAAAUUAAAAUUUUAAUUAAUUGAUUUUUUCACUAAAAUGAUGAGAAAUAAG